CCGGCCUCGCGGGAAGCCGGCAGCGGCGGCCGGGCUUUGCGGGCGUUGGUCACGUGUCGCCCGUCGCCGGCGUUUGAGGCGUUGGGCGCGGGUUGCUGCCGUGGCUGGGCGCGGCUGACAUCUGCAAGGCGCCCGGGAGAAUGGGGUCAGGCAGGCAUCGUGGCCGGGGCUCGUGAUGGAAGGCUGACAAGAGACAGGCCAUGACUCCCGAAGGCGUGAGUGGACGCCGGUAGAGGCACGACGGGAGCUCGGCGCCGCCGUCCGUCUGCGAGAGCUCCCCGGGUGGCCUUGCCCGGUGGCCGGCAACGUGCCCGCUGCGGAUGCUCGGAAGGCCUGGGAUCGCAGAGCCGGGAGGGACGGGCGUGGGCGAGAAGAAUGUGACCCCGUUCGUCGCCGUUCUACCGCCAACUUGUGCUUGUUUUCCGCGAGAGAGAUUUAUUGCUAUACUUGAAAAUGCAAACCAAGUUUGUGCAUGCAUUCAGGUUGAAAACUUGGAGGUCGCCUUCUCUGGACUUAGCAGAAGACAUCCAACCACAGGAGGCUGCACGACCACACGGUGCCCCUCGAGUUAGGGACCUGGGACAGGAAGGGGGUUCUCUCAGCCCAGCAGUGGGGCUGCUGGCGGGGAGGGGUGCCGCUGAGGAUCCCAGCUGAUGGAAGCGCGCACCUCGUGUGGGUCUGAGUGACCUCUCUGCAUCCGGACACGUGGUGCCCUUGUCUCUUUAUUUUGGGUAAUUUGUUGACCAAUGUCUGUGCCCUGUCCUGGGGCAUUUUUACCUAAAGAAAAGGGGAAAAGGUUAGGACAAGCAGGCAGGGCCCUGCCGAGCUGAGAGAGCGUCAGGUGCCUGUCCUGUUCCUCCCUUCUGAGCUCGGUGGUGGGUGCUGCCCGAAGAGCUCCACGGUCGGGGGGAGGCGCGUCGUGAAGGCGGCGGAUGAAGAGUGUCGGGCGGUUCGCGCCAGACCCCAGAGCAGGGGAUCCUUGUGAAACGACAGCCCUUGGGACUGGAAGCCAGCCUGGGACCUGAGCCCGUGGUUUUUAAAUUAGAGGCACUCACCGUGGCGUCUGGACUUACUGAAGUGCUGGUUCUUGAUGCCUUGGCGAAGAAGGAAGUAAGCAAGAGACAGAGUGAUGGGCAAGACAUAGAUUUAUUAAGAUAGGACGCUCGUGAGAGACGCAGGCCCAAGUGGGCAGGCGAGGAGCCUCUGCCCCCAGGAUCAGGGGGUGCAGUUUUAGAAUCCAAGGGAGUGGGGGUGGGAGAAGACCGCCUCUUCCUCCCGCCGAGGAAGAGCAUCUGACCCUGUGAGGGCAGACUGGGACUGUCCUGGUGCUUAUUCAGAUGGGCAGAAGGGCUGACCUUAACCUCCUGCCCUUGAUCUGAACCUGGAUGCAGGCCUUAUCCCAUCCCCCCCCCCCACACACACACACACAUGACCUGAGGCACAUCUCAUGCCUCCGCUCGUCCUCAGGCAACCCCCCUGAGCGGUCACCAACCCACAGUGAUCUCCCAAAGCUCCCCAGGCCCCCCCUCCAUUCAUGGUCCCCACUGGGACCCCCACAACCUCCCGUGUAACUCUCCUACUCCGUCCCUGUCACGUACGUGGUUGUGCUUAGGAUCUAGAAGAUUCCGAGUUCCCCUGACCUGGUCUGUGAGCCGAGGCCUGGUGAAAGGUGUGUAGACAGCGGGCACCCGCCAGGCGUCUUGUUUUUCUCCCAGGGUUCUUCCUGCCUGAGUUCGAACCUGGUGGGAAGUCGGCUCCUUUUAGUUGUGGGGAAGGCGGAGGUCAUCCAAUCAGGUGUGGGCAGGAAGAUGAGUCAGAUAGUAUCGGGUGGUGAUUAACAACAAGCUUUUGAGUUCAUUGAGUUUGGUUCUUAAAGGCGGCGCUUGGAAGUGCAGUGUCCUCAGACAAGCUGUUGAGCUCUGAGCUGCUUCCUCACCUAGGAGCUGCGGGUAGUAGCAGGACCUUCAUGGAGCUGGGAGCGUGUCGGGAGCACACCGGAAGGACUCAGCAAAUAGACCGUUGUUGCUAAGCCAGCAGCCCCUUUGUGAAGUCCCUUUGGAGGUGUUCUCCCCUCAAAUGCUAUGAAAGGGUUUUAAAUUUUUUUUUUUCUCAUGGGAUUCUUGUUUUAAGACCUUUUGUUUAUUUUUGAAGACUUUAUUUGUGGAGUGAUAAUUCAUCUUCCCUUUACCGAUCAAACAUGUGACCGACAUGCAGAGGUUUCUGCCUCCUCACCUUAACGGUAUAAUCUGAUGGGUUCUUGGUACCGUAGCUAAAGGCUGAUAACUGAUGUUAUAGCUGGAGCAGACUUGUGAUGAGUUAGGGUUCUGUUUCCAGCAGUCUCUUUGAAGUGUUAGCACCAAUCAAGGACUCCCCAGUCGUCUCCAGAGGUGCUAGACUAGAUCUUUCUCCCUCUCAACCUGGUUGGCUUCGAAGCAGAGUUAAUGUUAAACUGGGAGCCAGCCGGAUUCUCGCGAGACGUUGAACCAUGCCCGACUUAUUUUGUCCUGGAGAUCCCGGUCCAUUGACGUGUAUUUUCAUUUUUCAGGCUUCAGUGCAAAAGGAAAACCAGUGGCUAAAUUUUCUAGAGCUGUUAUUUUUUUUCUUGAGGCUUUAUAGUCACUAACAUAUCAGUAACAAUAUGUAUAGUAUGUUUUAAAAAAAACUUUCAGAGUUCCCGUCGUGGCGC